GUCUCCUCUUCACCAUGCCAUUUCUUGAAAAAGAGGAAAACAGUGAACCUGUGCUGAUGAAAAAUGAAACACGCCUGCAAAUCUUAAAGAACAAGGAGCAGAGAAAGAGACUUGUUCAUGAAAUUUGUACUUUUUUAGAUAGCAGCCAGUCUGUCCAGGAAAUUGAUGCUUUAAGGACAGAAAACAGGAAAUUAAAAAAUGCGAACUCGAGACUUCGAUAUAAGACAAAGGAUUGGGCAUUAAAGAAAGAAGAAUAUGAAAAUGAGAUUGAGAGGCUGUCUAGUGAGAUAUCAAAUUACUUAAAUGUCACCAAUUUUUGGUAUCAAGACACAGAGCUUCUUAAUGAUGAGCCACUCAGACAGAGGGCGCCCUUGGACCAGCAAAAAGGAAUGUUACAACACAGACUGGAGAAGAUGACACAAGUUUCUUUUCUUUUUUCAUCUAAUCCAGACACACAAGUGAAGAACCCUUAUCAAAGGAUGAAUAUGAACAAUAGAAGAGCAGCUAACUACUAUUUUUAA
rnacentral:lncRNA from 1 species